rnacentral:lncRNA from 1 species
CAAUUGGUUAGGAGGCAGAAGCUAGAAUGAGGAGAUCUGAUAACUGAAGUUGAAGACCAGAGCUUCAAGCUUCCAUAGGUUUGGGUUGGACCACUACUCAAGUCUUUCUAGCUCUGCAAGUCUGGGAAGAAAAUAAUUAGCGCCCCAGUGGUCAUCAGAGCCCUCUAUCCCUGCCUUUUAGUAAUCAUCACAUUAUUAAGAUCCACAAGGGCAGAGAAUAUGUUCUGCUUAUAUUUAUAUUCCUAAUAUCUAUCCUGCACUCUCAACCCUGUGUCAGAAUAAUUAGGAAAGACUAUCUAAGAGUGAGGGAGUCUAAUCCUAGGGUUCAUUCUGGUGUUGUUUGGGGAGCUAUAAUCUGAGAAGUGCCAUUCAGUUUUAAAAUGUUUUAUUAAAAAUCAUACAGAAUUAUAUAUUACAAUCUUAUAAAUAUGUAUUUAUAAUAAAAUAUUAUACGAAAGCAUAAAUACUAGUUUAACAAACCCCUAUAUGUCUGUUAAUCCCAUCCCUUUUUUAAAAAAUUUAUUUUUAGUUAUAGGUAGAUACAAUACCUUUAUUUUACUUUUAUGUGGUGCUGAGGAUCGAACCCAGUGCCUCACACAUACUAGGCGAGCACUUUACCUCUGAGCCACAAUCCCAGUUCCCAAUCCAUCCCUUCUUAAAAGAUAUUUUCUGUCUUCUGUUGCCACUGAUUACAUAGGCUUCCUCUGUCUUCCCUCUCCCUUCAGAUGAAUGACUAACAGAAUGUUUUGGGGGUGGGGGCGCGCACUGAUCCACAUCCCCAACUUUUUUAAUUUUUUAUUUUGAGACAGGUUAUUGCUAAGCUGCUAAGUUGCUGAGGCUGACCUUGAACUUUUGAUACUCCUGCCUCAGCCUUCUGAUCUGCUGGGAUUACAGUUGUGUGCCACUAUGCCCAGCCAGAAUGUAUCAUUCUUGAAUCUUCUAUAUUGAGUACAUAAACCUGCAGCAAAAGUAUGAGGAGAAAUUUAAACUUUUUGAAUCAUUUAUUCAGGUAGCUAUUUUUUAGCAUCUGUAUUUUAUUAUAAAAUUAAUCUAGUUUUAGUUGGAUACAAUACCUUUAUUUUAUUUUAUUUAUUUUUUAGUUGUAGUUGUCAAUAACUUUAUUUUUUAUGUGGUGCUGAGAAUAGAACCCAGGGCCUCGCACGCCCUAGGCGAGUGCUCUACCACUGAGCAACAAUCCCAGCCCCACAAUACCUUUAUUUUAUUUAUUUAUUUUUAUGUGGUGCUGAGGAUCAAACCCAACGCCUACCAUGUGCUGGUUGAGCGCUCUACCUCUGAGCCACAACCCCAGCCUCCAGAAAGCUUUUUUUUUUAAAGUUCCUAAAACAGAUGCACUCAGAGUAACUGAACUGGAUGAUCACUUCUACCAGUGGAAACCUUUUUAUUGAAUUUAUAUAAAUUAGGUAGCCCAUAACCUUGCCCUUAUUCUAUUCCAUAGAAGUUCCCCUGUGCCUCUGGUGCUGAGCACAAAACGUGAUUGUUGUCUUUGAGUACAAAUAUUUGGAAAAGCAGAGAAACCCUCUACUAUGAUGUGUAUAAGAUUUUAACUUACUUUUGACAUAAGAAUAUAUUGCUUCUAUUCAUUACUUUAAAUGUAGAGACUCCCUUGUUUAAACAACCUUACUUUAUUUUCAAGCAUCUAUUGAAAUAAUUUUCACUCUUCCAGGUACAUAAAGUGACCACAUAAAAUGUAGGUUAGUUCUGCCCUUAAACCAAAGUAUAGAUUAUAGACACAUUUUCAAUUUGCAACACCACAGUAGGCAUUCUUGUUAAAUUAGUGUGAGAAAUUAACUUUAUUUUGUACAAGGUACAAUCCCUCUGCACAGUGAACAAAUAUAUUACAAAUCUGUGGUUUAAAAAAGUAUUGCCAUUUAAUAGUAUCUUUUAUGCUAUUGUACAAU